GAUGAACGCUGGCGGCGUGCUUAACACAUGCAAGUCGAACGAAGCACUUAUGACAGACUCUUCGGAUGAUGGAUUAAGUGACUGAGUGGCGGACGGGUGAGUAACGCGUGGGUAACCUGCCUCAUACAGGGGGAUAACAGUUAGAAAUGACUGCUAAUACCGCAUAAGCGCACGAGACCGCAUGGUCUAGUGUGAAAAACUCCGGUGGUAUGAGAUGGACCCGCGUCUGAUUAGCUAGUUGGUGGGGUAACGGCCUACCAAGGCAACGAUCAGUAGCCGGCCUGAGAGGGUGAACGGCCACAUUGGGACUGAGAUACGGCCCAGACUCUACGGGAGGCAGCAGUGGGGAAUAUUGGGCAAUGGGCGAAAGCCUGACCCAGCAACGCCGCGU
rnacentral:rRNA from 1 species